UACGUAGGGUGCAAGCGUUGUCCGGCAUUAUUGGGCGUAAAGAGCUCGUAGGCGGUUUGUCGCGUCGGCUGUGAAAACCUGGGGCUCAACCCCGGGCCUGCAGCCGAUACGGGCAAACUAGAAUUCGGUAGGGGAGACUGGAAUUCCUGGUGUAGCGGUGAAAUGCGCAGAUAUCAGGAGGAACACCGGUGGCGAAGGCGGGUCUCUGGGCCGAUAUUGACGCUGAGGAGCGAAAGCGUGGGGAGCGAACAGG
rnacentral:rRNA from 1 species